UAGCUGGUCCGAGAGGAUGAUCAGCCACACUGGGACUGAGACACGGCCCAGACUCCUACGGGAGGCAGCAGUGAGGAAUCUUCCACAAUGGGCGAAAGCCUGAUGGAGCAACGCCGCGUGCAGGAUGAAGGCCUUCGGGUUGUAAACUGCUUUUAUAAGUGAGGAAUAUGACGGUAACUUAUGAAUAAGGAUCGGCUAACUACGUGCCAGCAGCCGCGGUCAUACGUAGGAUCCGAGCGUUAUCCGGAGUGACUGGGCGUAAAGAGUUGCGUAGGCGGUUUGUUAAGCGAAUAGUGAAACCUGGUGGCUCAACCAUACAGACUAUUAUUCGAACUGGCAAACUCGAGAGUGGUAGAGGUCACUGGAAUUUCUUGUGUAGGAGUGAAAUCCGUAGAUAUAAGAAGGAACACCGAUGGCGUAGGCAGGUGACUAGACCAUUUCUGACGCUAAGGCACGAAAGCGUGGGGAGCGAACCGGAUUAGAUACCCGGGUAGUCCACGCCGUAAACGAUGGAUACUAGCUGUUGGAGGUAUCGACCCCUUCAGUAGCGAAGCUAACGCGUUAAGUAUCCCGCCUGUGGAGUACGGCCGCAAGGCUAAAACAUAAAGGAAUUGACGGGGACCCGCACAAGCGGUGGAUCGUGUUCUUUAAUUCGAUGAUAAACGAAGAACCUUACCAGGGCUUGACAUCCAGGGAAGGUCUGCGAAAGUGGACUGUGCCUUUUGGAACCCUGUGACAGGUGCUGCAUGGCCGUCGUCAGCUCGUGUCGUGAGAUGUUUGGUUAAGUCCAUCAACGAGCGCAACCCUUGCAACUAGUUGGAUUUUUCUAGUUGGACUGCCCCGGUAACGGGGAGGAAGGAGGGGAUGAUGUCAGGUCAGUAUUGCCCUUACGUCCUGGGCUAGAAACACGAUACAAUGGCUAGUACAAUGCGCAGCGAAGCCGCAAGGUGGAGCAAAUCGCAUCAAAGCUAGUCUCAGUUCGGAUUGGAGGCUGAAACUCGCCUCCAUGAAGUCGGAAUCGCUAGUAAUCGCAGAUCAGCAAGCUGCGGUGAAUACGUUCCCGGGUCUUGUACACACCGCCCGUCAAACCAUGAAAGUGACCAACACCCGAAGUCCGAUUCGUCGGCCUAAGGUGGGGGGCAUGAUUGGGGUUAAGUCGUAACAAGGUAUCCGUACCGGAAGGUGCGGAUG
rnacentral:rRNA from 1 species